AACAGAUUUAAGGUCCAUAAAAAGCAAAUAACCAACGAUGCUCUGACAUGGGUUUCUGAGUUCUCUCUUUUGCUUGAGAUGAAAAAAUGGAUGCCUGAUUUGUAGCAUAUCACAUCUAAAGUAAACAAACAGGGGGAGCGAAGUUUGAUUUUAACGUUGGGGGUGGGAGGAUAUUUGAGUGACAAUUAUUCAUUCUGUAAAACAGAGAACGGU
rnacentral:misc_RNA from 1 species